rnacentral:rRNA from 1 species
GACGAACGCUGGCGGCGUGCCUAAUACAUGCAAGUUGAGCGAUGAAGAUUGGUGCUUGCACCAAUUUGAAGAGCAGCGAACGGGUGAGUAACGCGUGGGGAAUCUGCCUUUGAGCGGGGGACAACAUUUGGAAACGAAUGCUAAUACCGCAUAAUAACUUUAAACAUAAGUUUUAAGUUUGAAAGAUGCAAUUGCAUCACUCAAAGAUGAUCCCGCGUUGUAUUAGCUAGUUGGUGAGGUAAAGGCUCACCAAGGCGAUGAUACAUAGCCGACCUGAGAGGGUGAUCGGCCACAUUGGGGCUGAGACACGGCCCAAACUCCUACGGGAGGCAGCAGUAGGGAAUCUUCGGCAAUGGACGAAAGUCUGACCGAGCAACGCCGCGUGAGUGAAGAAGGGUUUCGGAUCGUAAAACUCUGUUGGUAGAGAAGAACGUUGGUGAGAGUGGAAAGCUCAUCAAGUGACGGUAACUACCCAGAAGGGGACGGCUAACUACGUG